rnacentral:rRNA from 2 species
CCUAGAUAUUAUCUAAGGUGAAACCUGCCCAAUGAUUUUUAAUUUAAAACAAAUAAAAAUUGUUAAAUAAAAUUAAACGGACGCGGUAACCUUGACCGUGAUAAUGUAGCAUAAUCACUCGCCAUUUAAUUAAUGGAUAGUAUGAAUGGUUAAACGAAUAUUCCACUGUCUUAAAAAGAGACCCUUAAAAAUUUAAAUAAUAGUUAAGAUGCUAUUUAAAAUUGUAAGACGAAAAGACCCUAUAGAGCUUAACUAUAUUCUUUUAGUAUAAUAGAAAAUCAUUUCAAAAAAAGAAAGAAUGGUAGUUUAGUUGGGGCGACUGUUUUCUAAAAAUAACGAAAACAAGCAAAGUUAUUAAUAUAUUUAUUGUAUAAUCAAUUUAUUUAACAAUUACAAAAGUAGGCUAUAGUGACCCGUUAUUUCUAAAUAAAAAGAAUAACGAUCAAUAAAUAAAAGCUACCUUAGGGAUAACAGGAUAAUUUCAUUUUAGAGACCUAAUCGAAAAUGAAGUUUGUCACCUCUAUGUUGAAUUAAGAUAUCCUGACGGUGUAGAAGUUGUCAAAGGUAGGUCUGUUCGACCUUUAAAAU